rnacentral:rRNA from 1 species
UUAGAGGAAGUAAAAGUCGUAACAAGGUUUCCGAGGUGAACCUGCGGAAGGAUCAUUACAGUAAAAGGGGGGGUUGGAUGCUGGCCCGCGAGGGCACGUGCGCGCCCUCCGUUUUGACACCCACACACCUGUGCACCUAUGGGCAACGAAAAAAAAGCGCCUCCUCGGGGGACUCGUUUCGCCUCGUUUUGUAAUCUCAGCCUGUUCGAACGCAUGUUUUUAAUCAAGGCUCUACGGAGUCGAUAACGAAUACAACUUUCGACAACGGAUCUCUUGGCUUUUGCAUCGAUGAAGAACGCCGCGAAAGUGCGAAACGUAAUGUGAAUUGCAGAAUUCAGUGAAUCAUCGAAUCUUUGAACGCAUCUUGCGCCCCUUGGUUAAUCCGAGGAGCAUGCCUGUCUGAGUGUCGUGAAACCCCAUCGACCUUUGCUUUCUUUGUUGAAGGUUAGGGUUGGAUUUGGAUGUCUGCGGCGGAUCCGUCCGCCGCUCGUCUCUAAAUGUAUUUAGCUGAGCCCUUUCGAAUCGGCUUGUCGACGGCGGUGUGAUAAUAAACGUGUUGUGGCACCGUUUGGCCGGUUCGGGUUUGCUUACAAGCCGGGGGGGGUGGCCGUUUUGCGCGCGCAACGGAGAUCGCCCUUCCCAUCUCAUGUCAUCAGACCUCAGAUCAGGUAGGACUACCCGCCGAACUUAAGCAUAUCAAUAAGCCGGAGGAA